rnacentral:rRNA from 1 species
AGUGAACGCUGGCGGUAGGCCUAACACAUGCAAGUCGAACGGCAGCACAGUAAGAGCUUGCUCUUACGGGUGGCGAGUGGCGGACGGGUGAGGAAUACAUCGGAAUCUACUUUUUCGUGGGGGAUAACGUAGGGAAACUUACGCUAAUACCGCAUACGACCUACGGUUGAAAGCAGGGGAUCUUCGGACCUUGCGCGAUUGAAUGAGCCGAUGUCGGAUUAGCUAGUUGGCGGGGUAAAGGCCCACCCAGGCGACGAUCCGUAGCUGGUCUGAGAGGAUGAUCAGCCACACUGGAACUGAGACACGGUCCAGACUCCUACGGGAGGCCGCAGUGGGGAAUAUUGGACAAUGGGCGCAAGCCUGAUCCAGCCAUACCGCGUGGGUGAAGAAGGCCUUCGGGUUGUAAAGCCCUUUUGUUGGGAAAGAAAAGCAGCAGGUUAAUACCCCGCUGUUCUGACGGUACCCAAAGAAUAAGCACCGGCUAACUUCGUG